UGCGGGGUGGAGCAGCCUGGUAGCUCGUCGGGCUCAUAACCCGAAGGUCGUUGGUUCAAAUCCAGCCCCCGCUACCA
rnacentral:tRNA from 44 species